rnacentral:rRNA from 1 species
CGAACGGGUGAGUAAUGCGUGACCAACCUGCCCCAUGCUCCAGAAUAGCUCUUGGAAACGGGUGGUAAUGCUGGAUGCUCCAACUUGACGCAUGUCUUGUUGGGAAAGUGUUUAGUGGCAUGGGAUGGGGUCGCGUCCUAUCAGCUUGUAGGCGGGGUAAUGGCCCACCUAGGCUUCGACGGGUAGCCGGCCUGAGAGGGCGGACGGCCACAUUGGGACUGAGAUACGGCCCAGACUCCUACGGGAGACAGCAGCC